ACGCUUGAAGUCAGUCGCGUUGGCUGGAAAUCAACCCUGCUUUUGCUGGGCGUACUUUCUAGUUGACGGGCCAGCAUCAGUUUUGAUCGGUGGAAAAAGUCUAGGGGAAUGUGGCAUCUUCGGAUGUGUUAUAGCCCUUGGUCGUAUACAUCGAUUGGGACUGAGGAACUCAGCACGCCGCAAGGCCGGGUCUUUGACCACGUUCGUGCUUAGGAUGCUGGCAUAAUGGCUUUAAUCGACCCGUCUUGAAACACGGACCAAGGAGUC
rnacentral:rRNA from 1 species